AGGACAUUAUGAGAUGGGAAGCGACGGUAACAGCUUUAGCUUUCAACAGAAAAAUAUCAGGUUUUUACAACGUAUUCACGGUGGGUAUUUUUUUUCUGUUAUUUAAUUUACCUGCAAGAAUAUUCGCAGGACCAUAAAACGAAGGGAGAUACUUUGGAUCAAAUGAAAAUGAAAGCUGAUCGUUUAAAGAAUUCGUAGGGGGCUGUUCUUAAUCUGGCAAGUUGGUCUUUUGAGGAUCUGAUCUUGUUUCCAAGGAUUUGGAAAUGAAUUGAAUUUAUGGCUCAAAUUUGGGGUUGGUGAUGGAUGUUGAAACGUGGCAAAGAGUGCGUGGCAGCUGUGGAUGUUCUGUGACAUCGACAACAAGAUUUUUUUUAUCUGUCUGUCUGCUGACGACGUCAGACCACAUUAGGAUCGUUGCUUUCUUUUUCACUUUUUUCUUUUCUCAUUCGUUGUUUUCUGGUAGUGUAAUAGAUUUUAUAGGUAUAGUUUGUAGUUUCAAUUUGUGGACCAAUAAACUGUUUUCAUCCAAUUUUUUCC
rnacentral:lncRNA from 1 species